rnacentral:rRNA from 1 species
CAGCAGCCGCGGUAAUACGAAGGGGGCUAGCGUUGUUCGGAAUUACUGGGCGUAAAGCGCACGCAGGCGGCUCGAUAAAUUAGAAGUGAAAGCCUUGGGCUUAACCUGAGAAUUGCUCUUUAGACUGUCGAGCUAGAAUCCAGAAGAGGGUAGUGGAAUUCCGAGUGUAGAGGUGAAAUUCGUAGAUAUUCGGAAGAACACCAGUGGCGAAGGCGGCUCACUGGACUGGUAUUGACGCUGAGGUGCGAAAGCGUGGGGAGCAAACAGGAUUAGAUACCCCUGUAGUCCCUGUCUCUUAUAC